rnacentral:rRNA from 1 species
ACAUGCCUACAACAUAGAGUUAAUGCAUCGAAUCCCAUUAGAAAUCCACAGUUAAGCGCACUCGAGAUAAAGUAGUAUUGGGAUGGGUGACCACCUAGGAAGUCCUAGUGUUUUACAUGCC